rnacentral:lncRNA from 1 species
CCAUUGUGAGGUCACAGUAAAAAGCUGACUUUCUAUGAGCCAAGAGAAAUACCCAUACGAGACACCGGCCUUGCCAGCACCUUCAUCUUGUACUUCCAGGUUCCGGAUGUGUGGGGGAAAAGCUGUGGGCACCUGAGAACUCUGUCUGCAGCUAUGGGCUGAGCUCAGCUGAGCCUCCGCUCUGCAAGGCUUGUGCUGGGGUUCGCUGCUGUGAUGCAUGCUGGACAGAGAAGAGAGCAUCUCACGAGCCAGAGUUUUGCUGUAUCUGCUCUCUGAUUCCCAACAACAGACAGCUCCUGCUUUGGUUUCAAGGAAUGGUUAUUGUGAUAGCUGUGACCUAUGCUUACCCUGCUUAUCAUCCAUGCCUCCAAGCCUCAUGGGAAGAGGAAAGAUUACUGCUUGAUGGUAGUUGGCUCUACUGGCAUAGGAAGAUAAUACAGAUUAUUAAAACACUGACAUUUGAGGAGGAAGAGGAGGAGAAAAAAAAGAAAAACAAAGGGACUCUAUGCAUGUAGAAGAAGAUCUUUAAUAAACAUAAAAAAAGAAAAUGUUCUUAAAAGAAUAAAAUACAAAAUGAAUUGAAAGAGGCCAGAGCCUUUUUGUAAUAUUAUUAUUAUGUAUUAUUUCUAAGCAUUUCAAGUUCUAU